rnacentral:rRNA from 1 species
UACGUAGGGUGCAAGCGUUGUCCGGAAUUAUUGGGCGUAAAGAGCGCGCAGGCGGUAUGACAAGUCAGAUGUGAAAGAGGCCGGCUUAACCGGCAAGGGUCAUUUGAAACUGUCAGACUAGAGUGCAGCAGAGGAUAGUGGAAUUCCCGGUGUAGUGGUGAAAUGCGCAGAUAUCAGGAGGAACACCGAUGGCGAAGGCAGCUCGCUGGGACGGUACUGACGCUGAGGCGCGAAAGCGUGGGGAGCAAACAGG